rnacentral:lncRNA from 1 species
CUUACUGCCACGUUCAUUGCCGCUCUACUCACAAUAACUAAGAAAUGAAAAGAGCCUAGAUGUCUUCCAACUGAUAAUGGAUAAUAAAAAUGUGAACUUGAAGAUAAGACCCUGUUGCUGAAGACACCACACACUUUGAACAAAGGAUUUGGAGGAAACAAGCAGAAACUGGCCUGAAGCUCCUCCCUGAGGACUAGCGCUCAUAUUAUCUGAUGGUGCUUUGGAAGCUGCCAGAGGAGAAAAUCAAUCAAUAAUCCUAUACAUCCGUAAAGCCCAUGAACCAUAGCAAUGACUAUCCUGGCAGCAUAUCCUCAAGGGUGCAAUAAUGGCACUUAUAUCCUGGGGGUAACCAAACGGUUCACUAACUGGCCUUAAAUAGGAAGGAAUUCGUGUCUGGUACUACUACUCAUGUUUGGAGAGGUUGCAGAUCCUAGAGGAGAACCUACUAUUGCCAUUUCCCCCAAAUCAGUGUAGGUUCUCAUUGUAUCAUAAAUACUUAUCCUUUUACCCACAGAUAAGUGUAGCUCUGAGCCCUCUUCAAAACAAGUAGAUGGAAGCUAUCCUAGAACCCCACAACUGGUCAAAGUGCAAAGGGUAAGUGACUAUGGUGAGUCCAACCCCAAAGACACAUCUAUAAUGAAGCUCCUACACCUAAGGCUCAGGGGACAUUACAGAAGAGGGAGCUGAGAGAUUUUAAGAGCUGGAGGACCAGGAUACCUGCUGUGAGAGAGUGUCUCCUAGGCAGGACAGGGAAGCAGCCCCCAUGAAAUCUCAAGAAUGUGUUUGCCUAAACAAGACCUGUGUAAUAACUGUGCUGGCUAGUUUUAUGUCAAUUUGACACAAACUAGAGGAAUUUUAGAGAGAACUGCAGUUGAGAAAAUGCUCCCACCAGAUUGUCCUGUGGGAAAGCUUGUGGUCCAUUUUCAUGAGUAAUGGUUGAUGAGGAAGGACCAGUUCAUUGUGGGAGGUACCACUCUGAGGGGUGGCCUUGGAUGGUAUAAGAGAGUAAGCUGAGAAAGCCAUGGAGAGAAGUGAGCCGCACUUCACUUCUGUGUCUGUAUCAGUUCCUGCAUCCAGUGUGUGUGUGUGUGUGUGUGUGUGUGUGUGUGUGUGUGUGUGUAUGUACAUAUGGAUUUGUAGUAAUUAUAUAAGAAGAGAUCAUAAACUCAAGAGGGGGUGGGAAGAGAUGUGGGGGAACACAGAACACGAAGAGGGAGAGACAGUAUUGGAAUUUAUGUAAACAGUAUUCAUUUAUGAAAUUCUCAAAAAAUAAAUAAAUGGAUGCCUAGCUGAUAUCCCUUUUCAAUGUUCAUUGGGGUGGAG